rnacentral:lncRNA from 1 species
UUCUACAACCAACUAAAAUCUAUUAACAUGGCUCUCACCAUAUUACUUUAUAAAUUAUAUAUUAAAUACAUAGUUACAUUAUUUUCAUAUAGUAGCCGAACCACAAUAUGAUACUAGGCUCCUAGCUGUGGAAGGUGAGGUUGUGUUUUACAAACAUCCAAAAAAUCCUAAUAGAUUUCACCCAUAUGAGAAGAAUAUAAUCGAAAUAUUGAUUCAAAAGUACUAAAAAAAACUCUUAUUAGUAGCCUUAUUCAUACAUAAACCUCAAUUACCUUAUUACUUUCAUAUUUAAGCAAUUUGGAUUUUUUUUGUAAGCCCCAACCUUAAUCAAUGAACUUUGAUAAGCUAUAACUUCUAAUUUGACCAUCUACUUGAUGUGAAAUUUUGCAUGAAAUUUUCAAUGUAAGUCUUCUAUAUGCUCAAGAAUUUUUAGUCCAAUCCAACUUACAAAUUGUGAGAAAACCUCCAAAAACUGCACUAAUGUCACUUGGCUACCAACUUAAAAGGUGAAGCAAAAAUUUUAGCAUUGAUUUCUCUUCCUCCAACUAUUAACUUUAAAUCAAAAUUUAUUUACAGCUUGAUCUUCAAGUCUUUCAACACCAUGCCAAAUUUUACCUUAAUCCAACUAGUAGAACUCCAGAUAUCAUAGAAAUCCUAUCGAAUCC